rnacentral:rRNA from 1 species
UACGGAGGGGGCGAGCGUUUAUUCGGAAUUAUUGGGCGUAAAGGGCGCGUAGGCGGCCCGGUAAGUCAAAGGUGAAAUCCCUCGGCUCAACUGAGGAACUGCCUUUGAAACUGCUGGGCUUGAGUCCGGGAGGGGGUAGCGGAAUUCCCAGUGUAGCGGUGGAAUGCGUAGAUAUUGGGAGGAACACCGGUGGCGAAGGCGGCUACCUGGACCGGCACUGACGCUGAGGCGCGAAAGCGUGGGGAGCAAACAGG